rnacentral:misc_RNA from 1 species
CUAUUGUCUGCUCUUCCCUCUCUCCUUCCACCCACAAGCUAAACGUAAUAAGUCCUACCUCUAUUUCAGUUCUAAGACCUAAUUGCAUUAUAGCUUUGUUAAAAUCUUGUUCAAAUGUAAGAGAAUUUUCAUCUCUUCACGCCCAUUUAAUCACCUCAAAUCUCAUCAAUGACUCUCUGAUAACCAGCCAUGUUCUUCGUUUUUUAAUCUCUAUUGAUGAGCUUGAUUAUGCCCACCAGAUUUGUAGCUAUACAUUUGAACCAGAAACCAUAAUUUGGAACACCUUUAUUAAGAACCAACUUAAAGAAGGUUUUCCAGAAGAAGUGUUUAUGACUUAUUAUCAUAUGGUCACUCAAGGCGUGGUGUUAGAUCUUUCCACUUUUCACUUCCUGCUUCAUGCUUGUUCUAGAAAUUUUGCUCUUCAACAAGGUAGUGAAGUUCAUGGUAGGAUUUUGAAAUCUGGGUUCAGAGCUAACAAAUCUCUGAACAACAAUUUGAUGGGAAUGUACUCUAAGUAUGGCAAAGUGGAAGAAGUUCGUCAAUUGUUUGAGAAAUUGCCUCAUAAAGAUGUUGUUAGUUGGAAUACCAUGAUAUCUUGCUUUGUUUCGGUGGGAAUGUAUAGAGAAGCCUUGCAUUUGUUUGACGAAAUGAUGAUGGGUGGGGUUAAACCUGAUGAGAUAACAAUGCUUAGCUUGGUCUCGGCUUGUACUAAGUUGAGGGAUUUAGAAAUGGGCAAAAAAUUUCAUGUCUACAUUGAAGACAAUAAUCUUCAGAUUGAUGGGAGUUUAUUGAAUUGUUUGGCAGAUAUGUAUGUCAAGUGUGGGAAAAUGGAGGAAGCGCAUAGGCUUUUGGGUAGAUGUCAAAAAUCUGAGGUGGAUGUUGUAAUGUGGACUACACUUGUUAGUGGGUAUGUGAAAGCCAAUAAGAUAGAAGAGGCUAGGAGUUUGUUUGACCAGAUGGCAGAGAGGAACUUGAUAUCUUGGACUAUCAUGAUAUCGGGUUAUGCCCAAUUUGGGCGUUAUUUUGAAAGUUUAGAUUUGUUUAGACAAAUGAGGUUUGAAAAUGUGAGCCCAGAUGAGGUUGUUCUAGUGACGGCACUUUCAGCUUGUAUUCAUGUAGAAGAUUUUGCGUUAGGCAGAGCCAUCCAUGGCUUGAUCAUGAGAUAUGGAAUGACUUUUGAUGGGUUUCUUGGGAAUGCUCUACUCGACUUGUAUGCAAAAUGUGAGAAACUCGAUGAAGCAUGCAUAGUUUUUGAGCAGUUGCCUUGCAGAAGUGCUGUAUCAUGGAAUUCAAUGUUGGAUGGUUUUUGCCGAAGUGGAGAUGUUGAUAAAGCAAGGAGCUUUUUUAAUAGCAUUCCGGAGAAGGACAUAGUUUCUUGGAACACCAUGCUCAAUUUUUAUGUGAAGCAUGUUCUCUUUACAGAAUCAUUUGGUUUUUUCCAGGAGAUGCAGCUUUCAAACGUAAAGCCUGACAACAUUACUUUGAUCGGUUUGCUGUCAUCCUGUGCUAGAGUUGGAGCCUUGAAUCAUGGCAUUUGGCUUCACGUUUACAUAAAAAAGAAUGACAUUGGUCUGGAUUCCUUGUUGGCCACUGCCCUAAUUGACAUGUAUGGGAAGUGUGGGUGCGCUGAAAUAGCCUACAGCUUCUUUUCUGAAUUAACUGAAAGGAAUGUAUUUGUUUGGACUGCAAUGAUAGCAGCAUAUGCUAUGGAGGGGCAAGCCCACAAAGCUAUUGACAUUUACUUGGAAAUGGAGGUAAUGGGAAUAAAACCAGACUAUGUCACUUUUAUAGCUCUUCUAUCUGCAUGUAGCCAUGGAGGUUUAGUUGAUGAAGGCUACAAAUAUUUCAACAAAAUGAGAACUCUAUACAAUAUUAAUCCAAAGAUUCAGCAUUAUGGAUGCAUAGUUGAUCUCCUGGGUCGAAUCGGGCGCUUGGAAGAAGCAGUGAAGUUCAUUGAAACAAUGCCAAUGGAACCAGAUGUCUCUAUAUGGAGUUCCUUGAUGAGAGCAUGUGGAAGUCACCACAAUGUGGAAUUAGCAGAGUUUGCAUUUAAACAUCUCAUAGAGAUAGACCCCAUAAACGAUGGAGCUUUUGUACUGCUUUCAAAUAUCUACGCAAAUGCUGGCAGAUGGGAUGAUGUGAGUAAGGUGAGAAGGAAACUACAUGACACAGGAGUAAGGAAGCAACCAGGUUUCAGUCUGAUUGAACAAAAUGGAGUUCUUCACAAGUUUACAGCAGGGGAAUUCUCAAAUCCGCAAUCUGCAGAAAUCUGUUCCAUGUUGGAAGAAAUAGAAAGAAGAUUAAUAAAGCAGCAACUACCAGAUACCUCUUCUCAGCAUAGCGAAAGGUUGGCUGUUGCAUUUGGUCUAAUAAACAGCCAAGGAAAAUCCACUAUAAGGGUUGUGAAUAACAUUAGAAUUUGUGGCGAUUGCCACUCAUUCAUGAAGGUAGUAUCUCAGGCUUAUGGCAGAGAAAUAGUUAUCAGGGAUAUCUACAGAUUUCAUCGAUUCAAAGAUGGGUAUUGCUCCUGUAAAGAUUAAUGGCAAUUCAAGGUUUGGGUUCUUUAUA